GAGGUGGGGGUGGGGGUGGGGAAAAGUCAGUGGGAGUCCGAGAGAGCCUGGGUGAAGUUCCACUGGAAGACAGGAGAGAUUGAGCCUGAAUGGGGGGUGGGGCAGGGGGAGACAGGACAGAGCUCCUGGGGAGACAGCCCCAGGGUUUGCAGGGCUGUGUGCUACCCUACCUUCUGGGGCUGCCCUCCAUGUGUUUAUGGCAAGGGCGCUUAGCCCGAGCUGGGCACCCAGCAGGUGACUCAGCAGCAGUGAGUGAAUGGCAGCCCCAUGCUUGGCAGCUCAGGGCCUCAGGCAAAUACCUAACCUCUCUGGGCCUCAGCAACCUCUCCUGUAAAAUGGGGCCACAUGCCUCUCAUAGGAUCCCUGGGAGGCAAAAAAUGUGAUAAAGCAUUUCCGAUUCUAAGAAAGAUGUCCAACACACGGCAAGUGCUCUCCACCCCAGCUCCAUGCUCAGCUCACGCUCCUGGUCCCACCAAACUGCCAACCUCUCCCCAAAUGGCCCCUGGUCCUUUGUGGCCUCUGCUUUGUAUUCGUCGCAGUUCCGUGGAUCUGAACCAUGCUGGCCUUGGCUUCGGGUCACCUUGCCAGUCCCCUCUUCUCCAUCAAAGCUUCUCCAUCCUGCCCAUCCUCGGGACUGCCCUGGGGGCGGGGCUGUGCACACCUGUGCUGUGGAAGCAAGUUCUCCAGCUCCACAGAUGACCAGGUGAGAACGCCAAGUCCCGGCCCUGGAAGCGGGCUGCGUCUCGAUGGCCGAGGAGGGAGGCCACAGUCGGCCCUGGUUCUCCAGCUUCCUUCACCCUGACAUGCUUCUGAGCAUCUCCGCAGGGACGGUGGGGCAUGGCAGCUGGCAGCCGCUCUCGGGGAUCCGGAGUCCUUCCACCGUCGCCGACAUUGACCAUCCUGCCGGGCAGGGCCGUCUUCCCUAUGUGACAGACUGCUCUUGUCCUCCUCGUCCAGCCCGGCGCCUCGGAUAGCAGCCUGCCGUUUAGGUGGAAGUGAUGUGGUUGCACAAUCCCACAGCCCUCCUUGGCAGCCAGGCGCGGCCCUGCGAAUGGACACGCCACCAAUGGCCAUGUAUGGAUUUCAGGAAGCGCCUCAAAGGGACCAGCAUGUUCCUCUACCCGCCCUUUCCUGCUGCCCCUGGCCGGAAGGUAGACAAAUGAUGGCUGCCAUCUCUGACCACGAGAUGGAGGCCACGUUGUGAGGAUGGAAGAGCCAGCGGUUAACCGUGGCACCACCAAGAACCAGCCCUGGAUUGCCUAUGUGAAGCAUAAGAAGACGGCUACCUCAUGGAUAAGGAACUGGAAGGAGGUCCAGGUGCAGGCCAUCCCAUCUCCCUACAGUACAGGUGUGUUCCUGGUGGCAUUUGGUGGCUGGGUUUUGAACAUCCAACAGAAAAUGUGAACAGGCAGUGUGCCAAGCAAUACGGUGGUGACGAAAAGCAACAGAAUUCACAAUUGUGUGGUAAUAGAUUGUUAACUAGACUUACCGUGGAGAUCAUUUUGUAAUAUAUAACAACAUCAAUUUACACCUGAAGCUAGUAGGAUAUUGCAUGUCAAUUAGUCUUCAAUUAAAAAAAAAAAA